CAUCAUGCCCCUUAUGACCUGGGCAACACACGUGCUACAAUGGGAAGUACAACGAGUCGCAAACCGGCGACGGUAAGCUAAUCUCUUAAAACUUCUCUCAGUUCGGACUGGAGUCUGCAACUCGACUCCACGAAGGCGGAAUCGCUAGUAAUCGCGAAUCAGCAUGUCGCGGUGAAUACGUUCCCGGGUCUUGUACACACCGCCCGUCAAAUCAUGGGAGUCGGAAGUACCCAAAGUCGCUUGGCUAACUUUUAGAGGCCGGUGCCUAAGGUAAAAUCGAUGACUGGGAUUAAGUCGUAACAAGGUAGCCGUAGGAGAACCUGCGGCUGGAUCACCUCCUUUCUAAGGA
rnacentral:rRNA from 1 species